rnacentral:rRNA from 1 species
GAUAAACGCUGGCGGCGUGCUUAACACAUGCAAGUCGAACGAAGUUUUUCCUUCGGGAGAAACUUAGUGGCGGACGGGUGAGUAACGCGUGGGUAACCUGCCCUGUACAGGGGGACAACAGCUGGAAACGGCUGCUAAUACCGCAUAAGCACUUAGCACUGCAUGGUGCAUAGGGAAAAGGAGCAAUCCGGUACAGGAUGGACCCGCGUCUGAUUAGCCAGUUGGCAGGGUAACGGCCUACCAAGGCGACGAUCAGUAGCCGAUCUGAGAGGAUGUACGGCCACAUUGGGACUGAGACACGGCCCAGACUCCUACGGGAGGCAGCAGUGGGGAAUAUUGCACAAUGGAGGAAACUCUGAUGCAGCGACGCCGCGUGAGUGAAGAAGUAUUUCGGUAUGUAAAGCUCUAUCAGCAGGGAAGAAAAUGACGGUACCUGACUAAGAAGCACCGGCUAAAUACGUG